rnacentral:tRNA from 1 species
GCAUCUAUGGCAGAGUGGUUGAAUGCAUCGCACUCAUAAUGCGACUCAUAUUUUGACAUCGUUGGUUCGAACCCAACUGGAUGC